AAAAUUGUUGCCGUUAAAAAGCUCGUAGUCGAACUUCGGGCUCUGUCAGCCGGUCCGCCUUCUUGGUGUGUACUUGUUUGACGGAGCCUUACCUCCUGGUGAACGGCGAUGUCCUUUACUGGGUGUCGUCGCAAACCAGGACUUUUACUUUGAAAAAAUUAGAGUGUUCAAAGCAGGCCUUUGCCCGAAUACAUUAGCAUGGAAUAAUAAAAUAGGACGCGCGUUCCCAUUUUGUUGGUUUCUGAGAUCGCCGUAAUGAUUAAUAGGGAUAGUUGGGGGCAUUUGUAUUCCGUCGUCAGAGGUGAAAUUCUUGGAUUGCCGGAAGACAAACUACUGCGAAAGCAUUUGCCAAGGAUGUUUUCAUUGAUCAAGAACGAAGGAAGGGGGAUCGAAAACGAUUAGAUACCGUUGUAGUCUCUUCUGUAAACUAUGCCAAUUGGGGAUCGGUACAGGAUUUUUAAUGACUGUAUCGGCACCCGAAGAGAAAUCUUUAAAUGAGGUUCGGGGGGGAGUAUGGUCGCAAGGCUGAAACUUAAAGGAAUUGACGGAAGAAUCACUAGUGAAUUCGCGGCCGCCUGCAGGUCGACCAUAUGGGAGAGCUCCCAACGCGUUGGAUGCAUAGCUUGAGUAUUCUAUAGUGUCACCUAAAUAG
rnacentral:rRNA from 1 species